AUUCUUUUGUACUGUAUUUCGUAAGUAUGAUGAGUGAGUUUUCAUACCACUGUGUGAGAUAUGCCUCCCUGAAAUCUUGUUAUGAUUUUGAACAUUACCUUCCUGACA
ensembl:snoRNA